rnacentral:rRNA from 1 species
UGGGGAAUAUUGCACAAUGGGCGCAAGCCUGAUGCAGCCAUGCCGCGUGUAUGAAGAAGGCCUUCGGGUUGUAAAGUACUUUCAGCGGGGAGGAAGGUGUUGAGGUUAAUAACCUCAGCAAUUGACGUUACCCGCAGAAGAAGCACCGGCUAACUCCGUGCCAGCAGCCGCGGUAAUACGGAGGGUGCAAGCGUUAAUCGGAAUUACUGGGCGUAAAGCGCACGCAGGCGGUCUGUCAAGUCGGAUGGGAAAUCCCCGGGCUCAACCUGGGAACUGCAUUCGAAACUGGCAGGCUAGAGUCUUGUAGAGGGGGGUAGAAUUCCAGGUGUAGCGGUGAAAUGCGUAGAGAUCUGGAGGAAUACCGGUGGCGAAGGCGGCCCCCUGGACAAAGACUGACGCUCAGGUGCGAAAGCGUGGGGAGCAAACA